rnacentral:rRNA from 1 species
AUGCCGCGUGAGUGAAGAAGGCCUUAGGGUCGUAAAGCUCUUUCGCCUGUGAUGAUAAUGACAGUAGCAGGUAAAGAAACCCCGGCUAACUCCGUGCCAGCAGCCGCGGUAAUACGGAGGGGGUUAGCGUUGUUCGGAAUUACUGGGCGUAAAGCGCGCGUAGGCGGAUUGGAAAGUUGGGGGUGAAAUCCCGGGGCUUAACCCCGGAACUGCCUCCAAAACUGCCAGUCUAGAGUUCGAGAGAGGUGAGUGGAACUCCAAGUGUAGAGGUGAAAUUCGUAGAUAUUUGGAAGAACACCAGUGGCGAAGGCGGCUCACUGGCUCGAUACUGACGCUGAGGUGCGAAAGUGUGGGGAGCAAACAGGAUUAGAUACCCUGGUAGUCCACACCGUAAACGAUGAAUGCCAGUCGUCGGGUAGUAUACUAUUCGGUGACACACCUAACGGAUUAAGCAUUCCGCCUGGGGAGUACGGUCGCAAGAUUAAAACUCAGAGGAAUUGACGGGGGCCCGCACAAGCGGUGGAGCAUGUGGUUUAAUUCGAAGCAACGCGCAGAACCUUACCAACCCUUGACAUCCUGUGCUAUAUCCAGAGAUGGAUAGUUCCCUUCGGGGACGCAGUGACAGGUGCUGCAUGGCUGUCGUCAGCUCGUGUCGUGAGAUGUUCGGUUAAGUCCGGCAACGAGCGCAACCCACAUCCCUAGUUGCCAGCAGUUCGGCUGGGCACUCUAUGGAAACUGCCCGUGAUAAGCGGGAGGAAGGUGUGGAUGACGUCAAGUCCUCAUGGCCCUUACGGGUUGGGCUACACACGUGCUACAAUGGUAGUGACAAUGGGUUAAUCCCCAAAAACUAUCUCAGUUCGGAUUGUCGUCUGCAACUCGACGGCAUGGAGUCGGAAUCGCUAGUAAUCGCGUAACAGCAUGACGCGGUGAAUACGUUCCCGGGCCUUGUACACACCGCCCGUCACACCAUGGGAGUUGGUUCUACCCGACGGCCGUGCGCUAACCUUUUGGAGGCAGCGGACCACGGUAGGAUCAGCGACUGKGGUGAAGUCGUAACAAGGUAGCCGUAGGGGAACCUGCGGCUGGAUCACCUCCUUUCUA